rnacentral:rRNA from 1 species
AUUUUCCGCAAUGGGCGAAAGCCUGACGGAGCAACGCCGCGUGGGUGAUGAAGAUUUUCGGAUCGUAAAGCCCUUUCAGCAGGGACGAACACAAUGACGGUACCGGAACAAGAAGCACCGGCUAACUACGUGCCAGCAGCCGCGGUAAUACGUAGGGUGCGAGCGUUAAUCGGAAUUACUGGGCGUAAAGCGUGCGCAGGCGGUUUGUUAAGCCAGAUGUGAAAGCCCCGGGCUCAACCUGGGAACUGCGUUUGGUACUGGCAAGCUAGAGUACGGCAGAGGGGGGUGGAAUUCCACGUGUAGCAGUGAAAUGCGUAGAGAUGUGGAGGAACACCGAUGGCGAAGGCAGCCCCCUGGGCCGAUACUGACGCUCAGGCACGAAAGCGUGGGGAGCAAACAGG